CGCUCCCAGGAGAAUGGUGGCCCAAGCUGCACCACCAGGGAGAGAAGGAGCUGCUCAAUUUUCCUUAGAGCUUUCUCUCCCCUCAGCAUCUCCCUCUUCUCAUCAGCUAUGGGGAAGGCGGCUGAUGGCAAGUGUUACCUGUGUCCUACCCCUCACAAUCUCCAUGCCUGAAAAACCACCAACCUGCUGUCUGUCACAGGCAAAUCAGAAACUGAUGAAAAUCUGGUUACAUAAGAAGUUGGAAUUAUCAGACCAAGAGAAGAUGCUGUGGGUUUGUCGUACCAGUAUUUACAGGAAGGACCCAGUUUUACCCAGGAGAACCCCAAGAGGACAUAUCCAUCUUGCUCCCACUGGCCCCUGCCUCAAAUGCUUUGGUACUGCACCAGGACCCAGCAUCACAGCUGGCACUAAAAGGCAGAAGAUAGAUUGAGACUAGGACUGGCAGGUGCAUCCCCAGACUGAGAUCCUUCAGAGCAGCAGAUCAGCUCCUACUAAUUCAUUGCACAGCACUGCCCACAGGGAGUCCUCAGCUCAGUGCUGUACAGCACCAAGAAAUUGCACUGAUUUCUGUAACACGACUUAGAAACACAUAGCAGACUACUCAUGUCUACUUCACCCCAACAUUUGGCACACCUGGCACAGGGGAAGUCAGUGGCCUUUCAAGGCUGCAUCCUUCUACUGCUGCUCUUCCCUUUGUCUGUACUGCUGUGGCAACAAGUGUUCCUCCUUCCCUUCCUUCUGUUUUCCAUUUCCAUGUCACUAACUGCAGAAGACAAGAGACAACCUGACCAUUGAGCUUUUUUUUAUCUUGCACUCCAUUUCUUACAGAAGGUGAUGGAUCUGUGAAUCAAGCACUUAGCUAUCAAACAUUUAAAUAUUUGUAAGUCUCAAGGUUGUAUGUACACUAAGUAUUGCAGUUUUCCAAUGUGCACAAAUGUCUGUCUCAGGGUGUCUGAGACCUGUCAGAUGCUGCAAGACUGAUGGGUCCUGGUUUGUAUUACCACUCGACAUUGUAAACAGCGCAAGGAGUAUAUAUUUAUUCUUGUUAACAAAAGCAACAUGAGAGCAUAGAUGACUCUCCAAAUUCAAGGUUUUACAGUGGUUUUGUACCAGCAGUGAAAUGACCUGCAGCUUGUUUCCCACUCAGAUCCCUCCCAGGCAGAUAUCUGUAGGCUGUAAAUUUCUACUGGACCCCAUGACUGAUAUAUUUUAACUAAGAGAUAUUAGUUCUUAAUAGAAAAACUCCCUAAAAGUUCACACACAUUCCUUUCCCAGUUUUUGACACAUGCCAUAAAAGUGCUUACCUCAUUCUUUAUUUUGUCUUACCUUGGUCAAAUCAUAAAAUAGACAGAGUGUUCUUUUAAAAAAUGGUAAAUCAUUCAGGGUCAUCUAAAAAUUUCUACUGGCUUUCAACUCUUGAACACUUAUUUAUCAUUUGCCAUUUAUAUCUUCUUUUUGUGCAUUUUUUAUUUCUAGCCAUAAAUAUCCUUACAGCAGGGAGUAGAGGGGAGUUCUGUAGAGGAUUAUGACUUGGUUUCAAGGCAUUUUUAAUUUGUCAAACAAUGCUGGUCCAACUGGGACUACCAGAUUGCUAUUUCUAAAGGAAACUCACUUUUGAAAAAUGUAAGGUAAGAAAAUGUACCCUUAGAUUUAUGCAUACAAAACCCGAUUAAAUUCAGCGAUUUCUAUCCCCGUUUUUACAUCUUAAACUAAAGAGAAAAAUGAAAGGAAAGAGUCCACUGACUUUAGUGAUAUGAAUGGGAGCCAUAUUUUGGCCUAGAGGCAGAAGGACUGAGAGGUUUUAGAAAAACUAUAUUAAAAUAGUCUUUUCUUUCUAAUAGAUCCACACUAAAAAGGUAAUAAAGGAGCCCCAUCCAGAGGGUAAGAGCCCCUAUGCCUUCCACUGGCAGAUCUUUAAAAUAUUCUCUGAGAUUAGAGGAACACACAGGAACUGAAAAACUAAUAUUUUGGGGUGUGAUGUUUAUUGCAUUAUUUCUAAUAAUGAAAAAUUAUGUACUUCAGAGUCUGAAAGGUACAUCAUAAUCUUCUUCUAUAGUCCUUGAAGAGGAAAAUAUGUUAUUUGAAUCUCUCCUGUUUUAAAAUGUUCAGGAUCAGGCUUUCAAAGCUCUGUCUCUUUACCUAAGGCAUAUUGCACUGAACUACAUGCAAUGAGCUACACUAAGGUUGCUAUCAAAGUUAUGCAGCACUCCAUCUCUUUUGUCAAUUUAAAAGAAAUACCUAGGAAUAAGGGUUUGACUGUAAUCCAGCAGACUUUUAACAGAAUUGCCUUUAGUGUACUCAUUAGAGGGAGUUUUCAAAGCAAACAUGAAAAUUUAUGAAGUAGGAAUCUCCAAAUACACAGUCCCAGAUUUUCCCAGGAACCCAAAUAUUAAAUGUCAUCAAUUUGAAAAGAGAUGCUCUAAAUAUUUUGCUGUAGUAUAGUAAUAGUAACACUAAUACUAAUACUACAACUAACAACAACUAUUGUUGUUGUUAUACUGCAAAGAAAUGUUACAAUGGAAGAAAAACCCACUCAGAAGUCAUAUCAUAUGCGUUAGCAAGCACUUGAUGAUUUCUCAAGCUUGGUCCAUGCACAGAGGUUAUUGAGAAAAGGAGGAUGCAGGACCCGAGUUCACAGAAGGGUUACUGCAGCUUUGCCAAGCUAAUACUGCUUCUUCUCACUUUCUCAGAGGUCAGCAGCAUCCUCAGGGCAACACAGUACUGAAAGAAGACAGGAAUGGCCUGUUAGAGUCCAAUACUCCCUGACUGGAUUCUUUUAGAUAUUCCACACAUAGAAGGUGAAAUGUUUAAUGUAAAAUGUAGUUAUUUAAAGAUAGUUUAUGUUAUAGGGGUUUCUGAUUUAGCAGAGUAAUAGAAAUAUAUUGAAAACACAAAACUGCUCUAAGUUAGACUUAGCAAAACAUCAAUUGCAACUGCACUAAACAGUUUAAUUGUGGGAUUCCCAUUGUCAAACUCCAUUAUAUACUUAUUGUCAUGACUCUGGACAUCUCCAGUUGUUGGAAAGGAAUUUAUGGGCUUAAAGCUGCUCAAGCCUGUUCUCUUCAAAACACUUUUGCAAGUUGACUAGUUUUUUAUACUCUGUAUCAGGCUGAGCCCCAUAAUCAGUCCCCCAUGCUCUUCUGGCUAACUCAGGGAGACAUUUACACUCUUUUAAUGAGUUCAGUGAGAAACAUUUACACUACCAUUUAAGCUACUCAACUUUUCAUAGAUGUUUAUGUAAAACAAAGGUCAUCCUCCUUUGCCAAGGAGUCCUGUUGCAAAAAAGUUUUCUUUACAGCAGCUGUGGUUAGUCACAUCCUACAAUAGUCCUUGAACUUCAUGAUUACAUCACCCUUGACCAUUUCCUUUCAGGCUUCUUCCCUUGGAGGGAUUUAUUGGUCAGUCAUAUGACCCAAAAUCUUCCUGCCCCAUCUCUUCCUCAUCCCCAAAUUCUUCUCUUUUCAGUAAUUUUAAUUCUGCAGUUGAUGUAAUUUAAAAGACUGCUUGCUAACAUUUCCAGUUUGAUUAUACAACAAAGGAAGACUAAAUUUUGGAGCUAUGAGACCAAAAUGGUUCCAACUUUCAGUAAAAUUAGAACAUAUAUUGUGUCUCAGCUGGAUUGAACUAAAUUUGACAUAGAACAGCUGCAGGUUACUGGAAAGGCUGAUGACAAUGCAUCUUUGUUAUUUCCGAAGUCUAAAAUGGUUUUAAUCCUAUUUUUGUGUAAGAUUGGGUAUGGAGCAUCUGUUGCUGUUUUGACAUUAUUUAUGCUUUCAUUAUCCUUAAUAUUCAGUGGGCCAGCACAAAAUUCAGAUCCUGUUCAAAAGCCUUCUACACUUCAUUUCAAUUAUUUCAGAUUCCAGGUACCCAGCUCAGUGGGAUAUGAUGUCCAGCCCCUGAGGGGACACCUGUCAGCUUGCUGAUGUGUGAAGAGAAUGCCCUAUGCCCAGAGAGAGAUCCUUCUAAAAGCAGAAUUGCUACAUCAUUGAAUGCUCUGUUGUGCUUUUUCUUCCUGCAUCUCCACAAGGCAAAUUUGUAGUAAAUUACUAAAAUGGUAGUUCACUGUGAGGUCUAAUGGAAGGGAAAAGUGAUUUUUAUUUACAAAAUCUCUACACUGAUUUUUACUCAUUCACAUUUUCACACACAUAUGCUCAGCAGCACUAAGACGUAUAUCAGGGCUUGCAGUGAGGAAUUGGUGUCGAUUUGCUGUCGUGCCCUUCGGAAGUGGGUGUUGUUUGAGAUCUUUUGCCUCAGUAUGUCAACUGAGCCCUCAUAAUUAUUGCUUAACUUAUCUGGUUAUUUUAUGGCUCCAGUCAUGUUCUUCAUAUUCUUGUUACCUUAUCUUUAGGUCAUUUUGUUCCUCCUCUUGCUUUGAAUGAAAUCCUACACAUAGUGUAUUAUCUGACCUGUCCUUCUAGACUUUGUUCUGCUGUUUCAUCUGCAACUUCCACACAAAUAUUUCAAUCCAUAAUCAACUAAUAAAUCUUCAUAUUUCUGUAACAAAUCUCUGCAAAUUGCACUAAUGCUGCAGUGUCUUGUCCAGGGCUGUGACGAGCUGCCAGUUGCAGUGUGUCACCCCAUCACCUCAUGCCAGUGUGAUCUGGUAGAUCCUGGCUGGUAGAGGCACCAUCCAACACAGCUCUGCAUGGCCAUAAAUUUCACUCCAAAAGUGACAUCCUCAGCUAAUUUCCAAAUACUCAUCAGUAAGAAACAAGGACAAUGUCCAUGAUCUUUGAACGUCUCCUAUAAUCUCUUUUUGUUAAUCCUCGAUUUAAUAUAGAAGACUGCAUGAGAUUGAUUACUUAGGGAAUUGAACCCCCCACUAAGUACAAGGUAAACAAAAUGUCGUAUAAAAUCCCACCUGGAUUCAGAUGAAUGAGAAAAGCACUGAAAUUCAGUGAUUAAUUCCCAGCUGCAGCUGAGCAAAGGCUCAUAAAAGUGAAAAUAAAAUAAAAAUAAAAAUGUUGAAACCAGUAAGUGAAAUGCUGCAUUUGGACAUACACAUGAACUCAUUCAGCUCUUAGGCCAGGCCUGGCUAAAAGAAUAAGAACAAUAAAAAGUAACAGAGCAAAUAGCAUUCUUUAAAAGAUUCUUUAAAGCAUCUUUAAAAGACUGCCAUGAGGCAAUCUAAUUGGAAAUGGAGAAGCCCCUAAAGGGAAGACUGCACUUUGUACCAAUGCCACAGUUUUAUCAUGAGUGUCAGGGUUCAAUGGGUAAGAAUCAAUUUUCCUGCUGUCCUCCCAGUAGCUACACAAGAGACUGGCCUGCUGGUUAUAUAUUUACCUACUGCAUCCCUUCAGAUAACACUCAUUCAAGCCCUGCUACCAGAACAACUGAAAAUAACACAUGUAUCACAUUCCUUUAAUUCUUUGUCAGGUUGUCAAAACUGAAGUUUUACUUUUGCCUGAGAGUGCACACCACAGAAAAAAGAUAAUUUCAUCCUUGAAGUGCCAGGAUUUUAUAAAAAAUAAACUUACCAACCUCUAGGGAAAAACAUUUUGAACAGAGAGAAGCCAGGAAUGCUAGGGCUGCCUCCUCAGAUACAGCCUGCCGUGGGGACAAACAGUGUGCUCUGGCCUUCUCUAGUCCUUGGGGUCAUACAGAAGUUUCAGAGCUGGUGUUAUUUCUGUCUCACAUAUUUCUUCUCCCACUAUUACAGUGACAGAAUUGCUGCCAUUUCCUUUUGUGACAAAGAAUGUCAUUUCUUAUCCCAUUGCUUUGACUGAAAAGGGCUGAAAUUAAGAAAUGAGUCCUUUCUGAUGGCAAACACAGUCACACAGAAGGUCAAAGGUAAAUUAAUUGAAGGCAUGUUUACAUGACUUCAUUCUUAAAAUCAGUAUCUCCAAUAUGUAUAGUAUUCUAUAAUUUACAAGUCAGAUAAGCAUAAUAAUCAUGUUAUUAUGCUCGGAAAAUAUUUCUGUAGUAUGGAAGAAUUCUCUCAUGCUUUGUACGUGAUUGCAAGAUGGAAAAGAACUUCAAGUUAAGAAGAUUAAUAAAAAG